AAAUUGAAGAGUUUGAUCAUGGCUCAGAUUGAACGCUGGCGGCAGGCCUAACACAUGCAAGUCGAACGGUAACAGGAAGCAGCUUGCUGCUUUGCUGACGAGUGGCGGACGGGUGAGUAAUGUCUGGGAAACUGCCUGAUGGAGGGGGAUAACUACUGGAAACGGUGGCUAAUACCGCAUAACGUCGCAAGACCAAAGAGGGGGACCUUCGGGCCUCUUGCCAUCAGAUGUGCCCAGAUGGGAUUAGCUUGUUGGUGAGGUAACGGCUCACCAAGGCGACGAUCCCUAGCUGUCUGAGAGGAUGACCAGCCACACUGGAACUGAGACACGGUCCAGACUCCUACGGGAGGCAGCAGUGGGGAAUAUUGCACAAUGGGCGCAAGCCUGAUGCAGCCAUGCCGCGUGUAUGAAGAAGGCCUUCGGGUUGUAAAGUACUUUCAGCGGGGAGGAAGGUGUUGUGGUUAAUAACCACAGCAAUUGACGUUACCCGCAGAAGAAGCACCGGCUAACUCCGUGCCAGCAGCCGCGGUAAUACGGAGGGUGCAAGCGUUAAUCGGAAUUACUGGGCGUAAAGCGCACGCAGGCGGUCUGUCAAGUCGGAUGUGAAAUCCCCGGGCUCAACCUGGGAACUGCAUUCGAAACUGGCAGGCUUGAGUCUUGUAGAGGGGGGUAGAAUUCCAG
rnacentral:rRNA from 1 species